GGAAGGAUGAGAAGCUUCGACUAAGGUUCGAUUCGAGCGAAAGCGAGAAAGCGUUGCCAACGGCAACGACCCGAAGGGCGAAGCGCGCAGCGCUGAGUAAUCCUUCCCCCACCACCA
rnacentral:sRNA from 1 species